rnacentral:rRNA from 1 species
CCUACGGGUGGCAGCAGUAGGGAAUAUUGCUCAAUGGGGGAAACCCUGAAGCAGCAACGCCGCGUGGAGGAUGAAGGUUCUCGGAUUGUCAACCCUUUUUGUUAGAGAAGAUAAUGACGGUAUCUAACGAAUCAGCACCGUCUAACUCCGUGCCAGCAGCCGCGGCAAUACGGAGGGUGCAAGCGUUAGUCGGAAUCACUGGGCGUAAAGCGCGCGUAGGCGGGAUAGCAAGUCAGAUGGGAAAUCCUAUGGCUUAACCAUAGAACUGCAUUUGAAACUGGUAUUCUAGAGUAUGGGAGAGGUAGGUGGAAUGCGUGGUGUAGGGGUAAAAUCCGUAGAGAUCAAGAGGAAUACUCAUUGCGAAGGCGACCUGCUAGAACGUAACUGACGCUGAUGCGCGAAAGCGUGGGGAGCGAACAGGAUUAGAUACCCCUGUAGUC